CUCCGUUGGACUUUGUAAGGAAAUUUGGGGAUUGUGUGAAAACCAGGAUCUUACCUUCUAAAGGACAACACGAUGGUUUCAGCAAAAAGCUCAUUCACUGAUUAAAUAUGAGAAAAGCACUAGGUGGACUAUUAACCGUUGACAAUUAAUCAGACUUCAUCCAUCUGGUGGCCAAGGCCAGCACUUGUACCCAGCCAUGACCAGGGAACAAUUCGGUGCCUCUGAGCCACCGCAAGGCCUGCCAGCAAGCUCUGCCCAGAUUGCCGGGGAAGGAGUUGUGGGUGUGUAUUAUUUAUGUUUCCUUUCAAAACAAACCCAACAAAAGAACAAAGCUCCCCUUCUGCUGGCAACGUUCACGGCCCCGACAUAUGGUGCUGCCGGCUUCUUUCUGCUGAGGAGUGGGCGUCCAGGUUGUGCAAAGCCAAGGAAUAAAAUCUGAAAGUAUAACAUUCAGUUUUGGAAGAAAGAGGAAAUCCAGCACAUGUAUCUGAAAACAAGCACGGCCUCCUUGCUGAGUCCAGAUGUAUUUCCAGAGACCGCAUUGUCUCCUGCAAGGAUGCUCCAUCGCCCUGGGAAGUGGCUUUGCUACCGAGCAGCUUGGAUGGAGGCCUCAUAGCAACGUGAGCAUGUGCAGAUCCCAGGACCUCAGAGUUGUGGGAGAACCACCCCUUAAGAGCAGGGAUGGGACCCAGACCCGCCAGCAGGCACUGCAAGCUUCCAGUUCGAGAGGCAAAACUGAGCAACCGUCCUCACUGAAAAGCUAAUAGAACUCCUUUUUACACUUUAAAACACUAAAAAUCAUUCUUAGCUCCCAGGCUGUACAAAACGAGCGUCAGGCCGCCGUUUGUAGUAUCCUCAGCAGCCUCCCCGCGUGACACUAUCCAGACAUUGCUUAAACAGCUUCUCAGCCACAGGAUGCUCACCACCUCUCAAAGGCACCAGAUCUGUUCAGGAGCAGCAAAAAUGUGGAAAUCAUCCUCUAUGACCUAUUUCCUUUUGCCUGGCAGCCACGGAGGAAACUUUUCUGUGAUGGUUCUAUGGAAAUAAAUGUCUGCAUCGGCGCUAUAAGGCAGAGGAGCCCCGAGGACCUGCUGGAGUCUGCAGAGUUCUUGGCCCUUAAGCUAAGUGGGCCUGCACCCCAGUGUUCUGUGAAUUCUGGUUUCUUUUUUCAGUUUUUCAUCCUGAUUCCUAUUACAGAGACAUCACCCCUGUCCUUUCUCACUGUCAUCUGCUGCUACUGAAGCAGUUCUCUCCUUCUAAUUAGCUGCUUCUAAUCUUCCAGGGGACUAAAAAUGAGCCCACCAUGAGGGGGCAGACGCCAGGACCUCUGGGACCUUGGGCGAACAGCGAUGGAGAAGUGAGAUAGAGAAUGGGGAGACAAAGUCAGCUUUUCCAGCGUCACUCUAAGACGUGAGCUGCCUGCUGCAGCUUCCAGGCCAACGUGAAUUGUCCUCAGUGGCUCAGCAGCAACACCCUAAAGUGUUUUAAGACCUUGUGAAGUGAUCAGGUGGGAAUUACCCAUGCUUCCAGAAUGCAGAAGCCUUCAAUUGCAAGCCGUGGAAGCACAAUUCAAUUUGGAUGGAACCAAGUAAUGUCGUCGGUUGACUAAUCCUUUGAUUCAAAAGAGUUACAAGGGUCCAGUAAGGGCAAAGCACUUUGGGGGUCCCUUGAGAGACAGGCCCAUUCGCUGCCCUCAGCAAGCUCAAGUCACAUGGAGAAUUCCGCAAGUCACUGUGGUUCUCUUUCUUUUCGGAAUGGAAAUACAGAGAAGAAUACAUUUGGAGCAAAGAAUGGACUGCAUCCUUUACGAAACAAAUGAAGGCACCUGAAUAAUUGCAUUGCAGCCUCAGCAGUGCAAGUGGUACCAUAUGGCCGUUUUAAAGUGGUGGGCCCUCCUUUAUAGAAGAUCCAAACCCACUUCAGGACUUAAAAAGCAAAAGUGCAUUAUCUACGGUGCAAAAGGCCACAAAAGAAUAUGAAAUGCAGGCAAGCCUCCCGCAAGCCCAGCUGCUGUCUGCUCCACCUUCCUAAAUGCUCAUGGGCUGAGUUGACCUAGAGAUGACCACUCUUCUGUCAUCGCCCAUCUGGUUCUGCCCACGGGAGUGCUUGAUGCUGCCUGGUCUCAGCAGAUAAGAUGACCUGACUUGGUCAUUCUACACCGUCUUGCAUCCGAAAAGCUGGGGAGGGUGAGUGUGAGCAGUGGGGCAGCCUGUGUCCUGCCUCCUGGAAGGACUAGUUUUCUUGUCGCUGAUGAAUAAGAUCAUCUGUGUACACACUGGGGACUGAAGCUGUAGAUAACUGAGCAGAGCUGACCUGCCUGACAGCCUUGUCCCUGACCACGACAAACUCUGACGUUCCAGUAUAUGUAUGUCAGGAAAGACAAAAUGUUUCUGCCACAGAGUUUAAGCUGAGUGAAUAAAAAUGGAGUGAGCAGAGGAUGGAUGAAGGUAAAAGAACCACAUGACUUCAGUGUGUUGUGACACUUCAUGUGUGAAUGUCCCCAAACGCUUCUUUGAAAUUCGCCAGAUAUUAAGGGAUUAAUAAAUUAUCUGGGGACAUGGUGUCUGUGGGAAAGGAGGAACUCAUAAGGGCCUGAUGCACCCUAUCGCUUGAUAGGAAAGGAGGGGUGUGUCCUGUAUACCACCAUCAACAUACACCGCACCUUUCCUCCUCCCUUUGCGGUGUCAGUGUGGGAUAGACAAAUCUGAGCUUGUAAACAACUGCAGCCUUUGUUUCGGGGACUCUGGACCUUUCCAGUAUUUUUGCUCCUUAGGUCAGGCUGCUGACCUGGGCAAUGGGUGGGGCUGGGUGCCUCCAGAUGGCAGCUGCUGACAGCGUCUGCCCCAGACUGCGUGGCCGGCUGUGCCAGAUCCCAUAGAGCUGCAGGUUAAGCCAAGCAGAUUCCCAGGCUCCACCCAGACCUGCCCCACCAUGGAUUCUUAUUCCAGCUGAAAUGUGCAAACUAUUGUCUGAUGAGAAACCAACAUCAAAAUUAUCUGGUGAGAUUUGAAAAUUACUGGUUCCCAGAACAAUUGAUCAUAAUUCCGCAGGAAUCUGAGAUUCUAAUUUGCAGCCAGAGUUGAGAAUGGAGCAGUUCAUGACAACAAGCAGUAAGUCUUCUCCAGGCGCUUUAGGGGAGUAAGCUUGGGAGAUACUCCAGGUCCCUUUCCUGGUUCCUCCCUUAGGCCCUGAGGCAGAUUUGGGACAGGACCCUGGACUUCUUGUGACCCAAUGUGGGGCCUAGCCAGGCAUGGCAUGACAAAGCCACAGGGUUCUUUCUGGGAAUGUCUGGUUUCUUCCCUGGGGUCUGGAGAGGGUUUUCCAGCUACCAAGGACUUUCUCACUGGAUGGAGGAAAAGUGGCGAGGCUUCUAACUUCCUCACAUGGCUGGAGAGCAAGGAGACCAGUGAGAAUUAAGUUUCUGGGAAGAUGUGUGAACUGAAUUUGAAUAAUAGCAUUGGGAUGCAGAAUUUGUUUUUAACCAAAGUAAAUUUUUUCUUUUGUCUUGCCUGCCUGAAGUAUAAUAGCAGGAAUAAAUUCUUUCACAGAAAGGAAAAUUAAAAGACUUUGAUUUCGAAAGUAAAUGCAAGUGGUAAACGUAAAGUGUCAGUCCCAGAGAGACUCACCUUUGGAAUCAUUAUCUUUGACGUUUAAAACCCUGAUAUUCUGG